rnacentral:rRNA from 1 species
UACGUAGGGUGCGAGCGUUAAUCGGAAUUACUGGGCGUAAAGCGUGCGCAGGCGGUUGGUUAAGUCUGAUGUGAAAGCCCCGGGCUCAACCUGGGAAUGGCAUUGGAAACUGGCUAGCUGGAGUGUGGCAGAGGGGGGGUGGAAUUCCGCGUGUAGCAGUGAAAUGCGCAGAUAUCAGGAGGAACACCAAUGGCGAAGGCAGCACUCUGGGACGUGACUGACGCUGAGACGCGAAAGCGUGGGGAGCAAACAGG